UCAAGCUACUAAGGGCGUACGGUGGAUGCCUAGGCGCUAAGAGUCGAUGAAGGGCGCGGUUAACAGCGAAAUGCCACGGGGAGUCGUAAGCAGGCUUUGAUCCGUGGAUACCCGAAUGGGGCAACCCAACCGGAGUCAUGUCCGGUUAUCUUUAACUGAAUACAUAGGUUAAAGAAGGCAACCCGGGGAACUGAAACAUCUAAGUACCCGGAGGAAGAGAAAGAAUAAUCGAUUCCCUGAGUAGCGGCGAGCGAAACGGGAACAGCCCAAACCGAAUCCUUCGGGAUUCGGGGUUGUAGGACCCUCUUUUAAGAAUGAUUCCCUAGCUGAACAGAACUGGAAAGUUCGGGCAGAGAAGGUAACACCCCUGUAAACGAAAGGGAAUCAAACUGUGAGGGUAUCCUGAGUACCGCGGGACACGUGAAACCCCGUGGGAAACAGGGAGGACCACCUCCCAAGGCUAAAUACUUCUUAGCGACCGAUAGCGAACAAGUACCGUGAGGGAAAGGUGAAAAGCACCUCGGAAGAGGAGUGAAAGAGAACCUGAAACCGUGCGCUUACAAGCAGUUAUAGCACAAUAAUGUGUGAUAGCGUGCCUUUUGUAGAAUGAACCGGCGAGUUAUGGUAUGUAGCGAGGUUAAGGCGAGAAGCUGGAGCCGAAGCGAAAGCGAGUCUGAAAAGGGCGACGAGUUACAUGCUGUAGACCCGAAACCGUGUGAUCUACCCAUGGCCAGGGUGAAGGUGGGGUAAAACCUACUGGAGGCCCGAACUCACUGUCGUUGAAAAGGCAGGGGAUGAGCUGUGGGUAGGGGUGAAAUGCCAAUCGAACACGGAGAUAGCUGGUUCUCCCCGAAAUAGCUUUAGGGCUAGCCUCAAUUGAUGACUAAUGGCGGUAGAGCACUGAAUAGGCUAGGGGCCUUACCAGGUUACCGAACCUUAUCAAACUCCGAAUGCCAUUAGAUUUAGAUUGGGAGUCAGACUGUGGGGGAUAAGCUUCAUAGUCGAAAGGGAAACAGCCCAGACCAUCAGCUAAGGUCCCCAAGUAUACACUAAGUGGGAAAGGAUGUGGAAUUGCACAGACAACCAGGAUGUUGGCUCAGAAGCAGCCACCAUUUAAAGAGUGCGUAAUAGCUCACUGGUCGAGUGGUUCUGCGCCGAAAAUGUAACGGGGCUCAAGUGUAUCACCGAAGCUAUGGCUAGGGAUGGAAUUACUAAGAACUUAGAAUAAACUAAUCAACUGAGUUACAUCAGGAAUUUUGCUUCCUAUGAAGGAGACUUAAGCUAAAAUCUAAGCAAAAUUCCCAAAUGCACCAGGGGAUCAAGUGUCAGCUAAAGAUUUAGUAAUUCCAUCCCUGGGGUAGGGGAGCGUUCUAAAUGCAGAGAAGGUAGACCGGAAGGACUAGUGGAGCGUUUAGAAGUGAGAAUGCCGGUAUGAGUAUGCGAAAAGACAAGUGAGAAUCUUGUCCGCCGAAAAUCUAAGGUUUCCUGGGGAAGGCUCGUCCGCCCAGGGUAAGUCGGGACCUAAGCCGAGGCCGAAAGGCGUAGGUGAUGGACAACUGGUUGACAUUCCAGUACCACCUGAGAGCGUUUGAGCAAUGGGGCGACACAGAAGGAUAGGUUAAGCCAACCGUUGGUUGAGUUGGCCCAAGCGAGUAGGAUGUAGGGUAGGCAAAUCCGCCCUGCGAUAAUCUGAGACGUGACGGGGAGCGAAAAUUAGUAGCGAAGUAACCGACUCCAUGCUGUCAAGAAAAACCUCUAGUGAGUGACUAGGUGCCCGUACCGUAAACCGACACAGGUAGAUGGGGUGAGAAUCCUAAGGCGCGCGAGAAAACCCUCGUUAAGGAACUCGGCAAAAUAGCCCCGUAACUUCGGGAGAAGGGGCGCUCUUGGCAACAAGAGCCGCAGAGAAAUGGUCCAGGCGACUGUUUAACAAAAACACAGCACUCUGCAAAGUCGGGAAGACGACGUAUAGGGUGUGACACGUGACCAAUGCGGAAAGAUCAAGGUGACUUGUUAGUCUGGCGCAAGCUGGACAAAGCUCGGAGCCAAAGUCCCCGUGAAUGUCGGCCGUAACUAUAACGGUCCUAAGGUAGCGAAAUUCCUUGUCGGGUAAGUUCCGACCUGCACGAAUCGUGUAACGAC
rnacentral:rRNA from 1 species